GAGGAAUGUAUAGCAAUAGCUACUUGCAUCAUUGUAGAUAUGAUGUAAGAUCGACUAUGUUGAAUAAAAUUCUAGGUAGAAUUAUGAUAAUGACAUUGUCUGCCUAUGUGUCUUGACCAAAUUACGUGCCAGCAGUCGCGGUAAUACGUAGAAGACUAGUGUUAUUCAUGUUUAAUCGGUUUAAAGGGUACCUAGACGGUAGAUCAAGCUUUCUAAUAAAUGAAAAGGACUAAUUUACUAGAGUUACUUAUGAGGGGGUAUUAAAGUACUGCUGGUGUAGAGAUGAAAUUCUGUCAUACCUCUUUUCAAAAGAAAAACCAUGGCACAGGUAUAGGCGAAGGCAUCCCCUUAUGUGAUAACUGACGUUGAGGGACGAAGGCUUUGUGUAGCGAACAGGAUUAGAUACCCCAGUAGUCGAAGCAGAAAAUGAUGAAUGUCAUAGAUUAGAUGUAUAAGUUUAUUCUAUAAAUGAAAGUGUAAGCAUUCCACCUCAUGAGUAAUUUGGCAACAUUGGAACUGAAAUCAUUAGACCGUUUCUGAAACCAGUAGUGAAGUAUGUUGUUUAAUUUGAUGAUCCGCAAAAAACCUUACCACAAUUUGAAUAUUUAUAUUUUUUUUAUUGUUUUUUUCUUAAUAGAUAAAUAAUUAAAGAAAAAAAUCAAAAAAGGAAGAAAAUUAAGAAAGAGGCAAUAAGAUAUAUUUACAAGCGUUGCACGGCUGUCUUCAGUUAAUGUCGCGAGACUUUGGUUAGUUCCAUUAAAUUAACGUAAACCCUUACUUUAUUUUUAUAUAGAGUAGUUCCCCGCUAUAUUGGAUAUGAU
rnacentral:rRNA from 1 species